CUGUUUACCAAAAACAUAGGUUUCUGCUAAGUCGCAAGACGAUGUAUAGGAGCUGACGCCUGCCCGGUGCUGGAAGGUUAAGGGGAUCUGUUAGAGCAAUCGAAGCAGUGAACUUAAGCCCCAGUAAACGGCGGCCGUAACUAUAACGGUCCUAAGGUAGCGAAAUUCCUUGUCGGGUAAGUUCCGACCCGCACGAAAGGCGUAACGAUUUGGGCACUGUCUCAACAACAGACUCGGUGAAAUUGUAAUUCCGGUGAAGAUGCCGGAUACCUGCGACAGGACGGAAAGACCCCAUGGAGCUUUACUGUAGCUUGACAUUGGGUCUUGGUACUACAUGUACAGGAUAGGUGGGAGGCUUUGAAACCAGGACGCCAGUUUUGGCGGAGCCAUCCUUGGGAUACCACCCUUGUAGUACUGGGACUCUAACCAUAGGCCAUGAAUCUGGUCUUGGGACACUGUCAGGUGGGCAGUUUGACUGGGGCGGUCGCCUCCCAAAAGGUAACGGAGGCGCUCAAAGGUUCUCUCAGUACGGUCGGAAAUCGUACGUAGAGUGUAAAGGCAAAAGAGAGCUUGAUUGCAAGACAUACAGGUCGAGCAAGGAUGAAAAUCGGACUUAGUGAUCCGGUGGUUCUGCGUGGAAGGGCCAUCGCUCAACGGAUAAAAGCUACCCUGGGGAUAACAGGCUUAUCUCCCCCAAGAGUCCACAUCGACGGGGAGGUUUGGCACCUCGAUGUCGGCUCAUCACAUCCUGGGGCUGUAGUAGGUCCCAAGGGUUGGGCUGUUCGCCCAUUAAAGUGGUACGCGAGCUGGGUUCAGAACGUCGUGAGACAGUUCGGUCCCUAUCCGUCGCAGGCGUAGGAAAUUUGAGAAGACCUGUCCUUAGUACGAGAGGACCGGGAUGGACG
rnacentral:rRNA from 1 species